rfam:Paraburkholderia caribensis strain Bcrs1W chromosome 2, complete sequence.
CGUCUCCUCCAUGUCUCCUCCUGAUAUGGAUUCGGCCCGCUAUAGCACGGGCUUUUCUUU